rnacentral:lncRNA from 1 species
ACCCUCUGUUCGGAGUACAACCUUCUUCCAGGUUCUAACAACCAAAGUCAGCUGCAGGCAUUUCCACGUGUCCCCCAGAAGCUAAGGCCACCAUUGCAGAGAACCACUGCUGGCCCUGGUCACUAGCCACAGUCACAUCACCAGCUGGGGUUGCCAUCAUGGUGUGAUCUGCAUCUCAAGAUUGGAGUGGGGGUCCCUUCGUAGAGGAAUUAGAAGGAGCAGGGCAGAAAGGACAAUAUAAUAUCAACGACAGUGUCAGGUGGCACUAGAAAGGGGUAGAAAGAAGAAAUAGGAAGAACAGGAAAUGAUUGCUGAGGGGCCAUGGGCUAGUCCACACUCGAUACCCAGAUCUCAGCUUGUAUAAAGCUAAGCCAUCGCACCAAGGAACCUGUCCAAGAGAAUGACGCAUCUGUGUUCCUUCAAAUAGCUCCUGGGCCCUGGAGUUUAGCCUGGACUUGCAUUCUUCACGGAGUGUGGAUCUCAGGAAGGAAACUGGAGCAAAUCAGUGGUCGGGAGUCACCAUGAGCAGCUUUCAGACAAGUCCUGCUUACCAGCAUGAUGUGAGUUUUCCUUCCAAUCCAUCGCAAAUUCAAUUCUGGACUCACUUAUUCUUAAUUUCUCAUAAUACUUAUAUAAAAAAUAUACAUGCUGCUCUUCUGUGUAAAAUGUCUGUUAGCAACACUAUGUUUCAAAAGCUGCAUCAUUGCAGCUGGAGAGAUGUACAAGUGGUUAGGAGCACCAACUGCUCUUGCAGAGGACCCAGCUCUAGUUCCCAGCAUCCUUACAGUGGUUCAUAGCUACCAGUAACUCCAGAUCAAGAUCCAGAGAUCUAAUACCUUCUUCCAGCCUCCAUGAACACCACAUACACGUGGCACACAUGUGUGUAUACAGACAAAACACCCAUAAAGUAAAUAAACCUAAAAAAAUAUGUCCAGAUGAACAAGUUACAUUUUCACAGUGUCCAACUCAAUCCAAGCAGCUCUCCCAAGCCCUCUAGACCCUCAACUUGCCUCAUGAACCAAAGCUGUCGAAUUCUUACAAGGGAAGCCAAAUCCUUUCAAGGUUAAUUUAUGGUCUUGUCUGUUGCAGUUCAAAGAAGAGAUCCUAUUAGGCAAAUAUGUGCAUUCUGGUAUGAGAGAAAAAUAUUUUGUUCUGUUAAUGAGUGUGUGUGAUUCCUGGUCAUUUGUCCCCUCCUCUUGACUUCUCCCUGUUCAGAACAGAGGUUGCUGGUGUCCUACUCCCCUGGCCAGGCUCAUUACAGGACAAAGAUGUCAAUGUUUUAGCUUACGAGUUUCAAAGCCAAAGUUUAGAAAAAGGGUGACUUUAAGAUCUAUAUAUGAGUGGGCUGUAAAAGUUUGCCACACUCCACACAAGAAGGAGAAGUCAGGAGAAGCCAAGCAGGUGCAGAUAAAUCUUGGGAGGACAGAGGGGUCAGGGGAAAGGUCUUGAGCUUUGUGAGAAGCCACAUGUGCCAUUGCAGGGUGGCGCUGGCUACCGCUGGCCACCACGCAUACAUAGGCAGUAAAGUUUUUGUUUUACCAAGAUGAGGUUUUGAGAACUAACCAAUCAGAUGAGAGACAAGUUAACCAAUCAAAGAUGAAGAGAUAAAAGUUGAAGCGAGAGAGAGGAAGACUGAAGUUUGCUGAAUAAACUGCUGUUAGAAGGACUGGUGGUCGUGUCGUUCUUGCUGGUCGAGAGCGGACGCGACAGAACUUCAGUCCUGCACACUCUCCAAGCACAGAAACAUUCCCCAAACUCACACCCGUGUUGUAUGUAGAACAGACAAGCAUCACUUACAGUGUCAUGGACCAAAACUGAGCAAGCACAGUGACAGCCAGAUCAGGGACAAUGGAGCUGCUAACAUUCCCUCACAGAGGGAGGGAAGGGUCACCAGACCCUCAACCUUGGAUUCUAACCACCAAUCCCCUCCUGCCUUACAGAUGCAUGGUUUGGGAUGGUAAACAGUUUAUUAAGGCUUGGGACACAGUGACACAGCUUUCAGGAGCACCCUUCUAGAAUGGACUUCUCUAUGAUACAUUUAUUUUUCAGUCACUCACAUUCCUGUAAGUAGCCACAAUAAAUCAGUGAUUCACAGGCUGGACCUAGUUGAAACUGUAUCUUUCAUCUGUCUGGACUUUUUCUAACUGAAGUAAGAGUCACUUGUUUAAAUCUCCCCCAGGAAAAUGCUCCUGACACAUACAUAGCCAGGAUUUGUCCCCAAAUGGAUGAGACUUCUGGGACUGAAUCUCUGAAUCCCAAAUGAGGCCCCAAGCUUUGUGGCGAUGUUCUCAACCCAGCCUGGAAUAGAAACAGCCAGGAAAACCAGAUGGGCCGAUAGACAUCCCCACCUCAUCUGCCUGACACUGCCAGUGUGACAGAAAGGGGUCACUUGACAGGAACAACAUAACUGUAACCAAGGAAGUGAGUGGAUGACCUUGCCACCCAAGAUGAGGAGAGUGGAAGUGAUGCCUUCUCACUGGGCAACAAGAAGCCCACUGUCAAAAUAAGACCUGUCAGCCAUGGACAGCCUUAAACACAAAGGUUUGUGUGAAUGUGCUAGCCCAUCCCAAGCAUCCCUGAACCUUCUGGUCUCACUCAAGCCCCUCCUGGAACCUGCAUAUGUUUCCACACAGUGGGCUGGAUUAUCAUCUCUCAAAAUCUGUAUCCUGAAGCCCUAACCACAAGCAUUUCCAAGUAUGGCUGACCUGGAUUCUGUCUUUUAUGAAGUGACAGGAUUAACCGUCAGUGGUGGUGCAUGCCUUCUGGGGGUGGCGCAGCACUCAGGAGGUAAAAGCUAGAGCGUGAGUUCAAGGCCAGCUUGGGCUACAUAGCAAAGCUAUCUCAUUGUUCCGAGCAAGACAUAGGGAUGGCAAGCACUCAGCGUCUGAUGAGAUAGACACUGUUUCCAAAGAGAAGCACUCGUGUGGCAUGGCUACAGAGAAUGGAAGUCUGGGCUAUUUUAAUUCUAACCUAUUGUAUAUACAGACUUACUCCACUGUCCCUGCCCUUCCUAAACAUUAGUCUGCACCAGAAGCACUCCAAAAACCUGCUGAAAACCAGAGUGUAAUGCUCAAUAGACCUAAGGUGGGUCUGGGAAUUUCAAGGGCUUGGAAUUUGCACUUAGCUCCCUGAUGCUAGUGAUGGUGGGGAUGCUGAGGCUGUGGUCAGUACUUUUCUAUUUCUGUGACAAGACACCAUCACCAAAGCAACUU